GGCGUUGUUUUUUUUUCAACUAAUUUCAUUGUAUUUAUCAACGAUAUUUUCAUCAUUAUUCAUAGAGCAAAGAUCUAAAUCUAAAUUUGCUCGUCAACCAUUGAAUAUUUGGCCGCUGGAAAUUAAUGACUUUAAAAGUAUACAUCGAUGCUGAUUUCACUACCGUUAUAACGACUGUAUUGAAAAGGGAUAAGAAAAAAAAAUUGUUUCAGAUUUAGAGCAAAGAUUGUUUAGUGGUGCUCUCGUUCUUUCUCUCCAUCUCUAUUUAUCUUUAUGUUCCCUCAACUCUUUCUUUCGACACGGCAAAUGAAAAAUGGAGACAUCAGAAGUCCGUUAGAUUUAAAUACCACGUCAUUAAUAAGCACUAAAAAUUAAGAAGUUCCACGUAACGCGUGAUAUUCGAAAGUCCAUGUGAUGCAAAUUACAGUUUGAAGUCGCCAAUAUGUCGAAAUAAAUGCAACAGCUUCGAUAUUGAUUGAACCGUACAAGAUUUUUGAUAAAUUAAAAAUCGAGAAUUCAAAACCAAGCUCCAGGAAGAAAUCAAACUUCUUUGGUCUACUUAAAGAAAUCAAGCCGACAAAAAGAUGAUCGGUUGCCGAUAUAUCAUCGAUCUUUACGCUUAAUCGAAAUAAACUAUCUUUGGAGUUACGGUAUUUAAAUCUAUCAAUUCUCCGUUACUUUUAAUGAUGACUUAACUUAUGACGAUAAUGAGAUCGAAGAUCAUAACUAGUUCUACCUACCAUGAUAAUAAAACAUGUUUGAUCUAUAAUACCUGGUAUUAUCGACUAAACAUAAUUGGUGAAAUCUUGAUAUUCAGUGAGGUAUUCCUACACCUGAGUUCUUACCAAUCAUCAAAGGUGAAUAUGUGUCAGAUGAUGGUAAUAGUGACAAUAAUAUUUCUUCAACUCGUUGAUAAUUCGCAGCAGGGAAUCAGAGGCUUCGGUUUUUUAAUAAUAAAUAUGAGACCGAAUGACUUUAGCCCGCACGAUAUCAUGCUCUACUGGUUUUGACGAUGCUGCCCUCAUUGCCAUUUAUUAAUUUGAAUAUUCAAAUUUACGGUGGUACACGUCAUUUGAAAAAUAUAUGAAUAAACGUAAAUAGAAAUUGUCAAAUUAGAAUCCCAAGAAGUUCUGCUAACCUGGCGAUAACGAGAAUUCCGAUUCACCAUAAUCUCGGUUAAUUCGCGCAGCGAAUAAACUAAACCUGUGUCCUAUAAACAUGGUGGAAUUGAGUUGGCACAUUUGUAAUAUACAGAUGAAGCCAAAGUGGAAAGAUCCCAUACUGUGUCGACGAAAAAGCUUGAAAAAAAAUCCUCGACUGCAGGUAUCUCGAGUUGAAGUCCCUGCAUUCACAUAUGAAUAUACCUAUCGUGAAAUCACCGCAGUUUUUCCCGAUGAAGAUGUAAUUAACGCGAUGGCGGUAAUAAGCAAACAGACAGAUAAAUCGACGGAAAGAGAUUUUUUUUCAAAACGCUCGGCCGCAGGCAAUGGGAAGAUACACACACUCGAGAAUAAAUUAAUUCCUGGUACCGUACUCGCUGCAUUUUGCAGCGUGAUUAGUCAACUCGCAUGUGCAGGUUGAUAUAGCAUGCACACGUACGUAUGUUCCGAUACAUAGUUGCUACGGACCACGUGUCGUUGUCAGUCAGAUGUGAAUUAAGCAGUCAAGUCAGCGGCUGUCACCCGUUAGAUGUGGAAGGCUUUUAUUUUAAACGUUCGAUCACGCUCGCAGCAAUGAAGGAUUAAAAAUUUACCGUCAUUAUUUCCUAUCGAUAAAAUCUGAUGUUUAUCGUGAUUUCUUCUGCAGACAGCUGUAUUACAAUAUGAUAAACCCGGAUCGAUCGACUCGUUAAAGGUAAUUUGAGAAACGGAAGGCGUCAAAAAGUGAAUGAAAAAAGCAUUGACCGAUGAGUGAAAGUGCAACACGUGAACGGAACCGGAAAAAAAAAGAACAACACUUGGAUUUUAGGUACAUCUGUAUCGAGAAGAUGGAGGGGAAAAAAAACAACCAAAAAGAUAACAAAAUUACUAACGAGUAGUAAGAGGAGAAAAGUAAAUAGCAGGAGUCAAGAAAAGCCGCAGCAGCAGCUGCUGGGCUCUGGGUUCGCACUUUCGCGGGAGCAUUUGCUCCUGAAAACGAAGAAUCCGUCCGUUUUGCCGCGGGGUCCGUCUCGCGCCACUCUCCCCUAUUAUGAUCGGAUCCCUGAUCUCUUGGUACUAGCGGUCGCAUGGCUCCGGUUAUGAUCGUGAAUAAGUGUCUUAACUUUUUAACGAGAAAGGCCGAAGAUCUGAUACAAGUUUCGCAAGUCAGCUACCGCCGGCACAUGUUGGUAUUCGGUGGGGAAAAUUAAUAAAUAAAUUAUCGAAGGCUGUUGAGCGACCUCAAGUGCGAUGAACCGACACAAGGUGAUCCAGGGAGAGUCAAGAAUUUCUCUCUUUUUUUCUCUUGAGAAAAACUUUGGAGCGUGUGCAGUUUAACCAAUGCGGGAUAGCGACCGAAGUCAAAAUUAAAUAAUAUUGUUACACAUAUAGUUACGUAAAACUUUUUAACAUACCAAUCCCAUAAUUGGAUGAUAUUUAUAACUACGCAUAAUCGCGAUGAGAUAUGCGGGAGACUAGGUAUAAUAUGCACGUAUGCGUAAGAGAAAUUUGUUGACAUUUAUCUUCAUACGUUAGAGACCAGAGCGAAUCGAGCGAUAUAUAUUUCGUCGUCAAUUUACACUGAACUGCGAAAAAGACCUUUCAAUAUUAUCGUAUCGACAGACGUUCGAAAACAUUUCUUUCAAAAUUUGAGCAGAUCAUGGAAUUUCAAUGAUCGGGCGUUGGUUAAUCACGCGUCAAACGUGUGAUUAUAUUAAUUGACGAGCUUCAAGUCUACGAAUACGUUGAAUAAUCAUUCGAGAAUUUGUUUACUCGAACACGGUGAUGAACAUUGAUCUUAAACAUUCGAAACCAUCAUUAUCGUUCUUCAAUCGUAUAAGAUUCAGGUUAAAGAUUUCAAACGCGCGGACGAUCGAAUAUCGAUCUGCGUACGCGACAGUAGUAUAUUGUGAGAAGAGAAAAAAAAAGAGAUGUAUCAGGCGAUAGUCAAUAAUAUAUCUCGUAAUAUUUCCUCGGUCUUUCCAAGGUAAAAUUUCCUAUCAUAAAUCUCCAAUAGUUUAGCGAUGGAAUUCAAUACAAAUGAACUUUUAAAAAAGUUGAAAAAUUAUGCCACUCAACUGGGUAAGCAACGUAUGAAUUUUGCAAUAUUCUCGCAGUGAAAUUCCGUCGUAUUGAAAUUUGAGGUUCUGUGUUCCCUCUUGUUUCUUCGCGUCAAUCAGUCUCCUCUUUUCGACCGCGUGCAAGAUGUAUUAUUUUAUUAUGCAAAAAAUAUUACACUCGAUCCGCGUACAACCGAUUGACCACUGACGCUGUACGUAUCCUAUCAAAUUCGGCCAUCUUAUUUUAAUGAAUUAUUCAGGCAUUAGGUUGUACCUAGUCGCAUGUAAUUUGUUUAUGAAUAUCUCAAAAGUGUUUUCAUUGUAUCGUCGCAAGCAAAUCGAUUGGGACACGUAUGUAUCUCGUAUAAGGGAGAGAAGGGGCAAGACGGACCCCCGGGGCACAACGAACCAUUAUUCGUUGUCGAGCGAUGCCGUCCAAAGAAUCCCCCGUACGUACAUCGAUAUUAAUAUGUUAUUGAAAAUAUAAUGGAACUAAUGACGUUGCCUAUAUAUACGUGCCACUACAGACGCCAGAGAUUGUGUUCAUCACAUUAAAAACGAAUAUAAAAGAAAAGGACGUAUCGUAUUCGUCCGAUUUUAUCGUGGAUCAUCGGAUCGAUGGAUAAAUGAUACCUCGAGUAAUUACGACAAAUUAACUCAUGACUCGAUUGGGGUCACGUCGAUCUCUCGCUGGUUAAUACCCGCGUGACGUGAUGAAUUGAACGAACGUUUACGUGUACAAAUAUAUAUAGUUAUUCGUGUACUCUUGUACACCUACUGCGGUGAGUUACGACGCGGGGUCGUGACGACGACGUAACGAUUACCUUAUCGACGCGUCACAAAUGUUAGCCGAUCUUAACGCAAAGGUGAUACUCGAGAGGGAGAAUCAGCUGCCUCCACGAUCGUGACGUAGUAGUAUUUACAAUCUUCUACAGAAUACAUCGCGUACGUUCCCGUCAUCGUACGGUAAAGCUCAUGGUGAUGCCGAACCGAUGCGAAAAUUCUUUUACAGAGACAGAGAGGGAGAGUCGUAUGACUCGUAACCGAUGAGGAAUAAUCGGUUCUCGUUUCCAAUAAAAUGAUAUAUUCUAUCCGGCGUACGAUGUGACAAAAAUUCCAACCUUUCCUUAUUCGAGCGAUUGACGACCAAGAGUAUUCAACCAUUGCUACCGGAACAUCGUCAUCGUACGAACGAAUGCGAGAAAUAUUCCGGCGUUAGACGAAAAAUAUAUUUUUUCGGCGAUAUUAAUGAUUACACCGAAAGCAUUCGCGGAUGCAGCUGCAUCACAGCUCUAAACUUCCAUGAUCGUAAACGGCUGCGUGAAAAAAAUAUGCGCGUUAUAUCAGGAUAUAUUUCCACGCGUAUUUCCGUAUGCUUAUGAGCGUGAUCAAUCCUGGAUCCGCAGGACGGGUGUAGCUGAUUGCGAGUGCGUAAAGUGGGCGCACAUAAGCACCGCAGCUGCCGCUGCAGCAUCGCGCCAUCAAAUGAAACCGGAGACGCGACUUGUAUAACUGAGUAAUUUACCUGGGUUGUUUUAUAUUAUUUUUCGGAAUUCAUUUAUUUCUUGUCUUUCCAUCCACAGGCGUGCAACGGCCACGCAGAAGUUUACUUUCCAGCAGAAAGUGCGAAUGCGGGGCGCGAAUCGAAUUCAAGAGUUAAAUGUACAAAACGACGAGGCAUGCGUUAUAUUCGAUAACUCCGAAUCGACACAGUGAAUAAAUAAAAUCAACGCGGUUAUUUCCAGGCGUUGGCUAAAAUUUUAUGAAUUAGGGUAUAAAUCAUACAUAUAUUAAUAUACAUCGGGUAUUAUAUGUAUACAAUGAUAUUUCUGCAUACAUAUAUAUAAGGGUUACGCAAUGGAAAGUUGUAAAAAGUUAUACAAAUUUCGGAAUGCUCGGUAAAAGUUGUGCGAUAUAUAAUAUCUCUAUGUAUACGUAUAUACCUACGCAAUAGCGUCGGAGGCGCCAGGCGUGAGGAAUUUAAGAUUAUUUCAUAAUGACGCCCGAAGAUGCCGAAGACGUUCUCCGCGUGACGAUCGCAACGCGCGACGCGCGAAACGUUUAUGAUCGACCGGCCGACCAUCGGACGUUCGCAACCACAUCUACGGUAUCUAUUGCUCACGAUCCAGCGUUUUCCAACCUUCGUAACAUUCGGGUGUAACGUCGUAUUAAAAAUCAUAUCGAAAACACGUAUGUUACGCACCCGGCGGUAGUCGCCGUACUUCGCAAGAGUCGAUCGUCGCCUCGAGUUGAGUUGAGCGAGAUGGAAAAAAAAAAAAAAAAGAAAAAAAAAAAAACCAAAAAAGGGGCAAGGUACGCGAGACGUGGGUCAGUUAUGGAGGGGAAAGGGGGGAAAUCCUUCCUGAUCCGAAGAUGGUUAACGCGCGUGACAUAACUUCACUUUCGCCGAUCUAUCACACACCGUAUAAAUAAAGAAACGUACAAUCACCGGACCUAUGACCCUAUGGCGUUGUAAACGAGGUGGCCUUAUGACUUGAAUUCCUUCUCCGAUGAAUUCGGCUCUUCUUUUUCUCGAUUUUUUCUCUUCUAUUCCGUCACUAAUGAACGUCGUGAAAAAAGUCCGGGCCUAAUAGUCGCGGUUGGCAAGUUGUAAGUUUAUGUCUAGCUACCAUACAACCAGCAGAUUAUUUGGUAAUUAAUGAUUGUCGUAACUAAUCACAAACCGGCGCGAUGUGUAAAAAAUUUAGCCUGCAGGCCAUGAGGUGCGAUUAUAUAUUAAUUUCCUAAAAAUAUGGUACGAAAGCAGCAAUUAUCGGCCCAUAAAAAUAAUAUCAAUCGCGCAUGGACUAUAAUCAGAAGACAUCAAAUUGCAAAAAUCGAUCUUAUUGAGUUUUUUUUUUCUUUUUUACAACGAUCAUCUUGAGUCAGUGGAGAAAAUAUUGUACAAAAAUGAAGUCGAAAAUUAAAUGGAUAUAAUUAUGAAGAUCCAUGUGUCUCAGAAGUCGAAUUAUACAUUUAUAACUUCGAUACAACUGACGCUAAUCACCGAUUAAUGAAAAUUACAUCGAAGUUGAACUAAAAAAUCUGAGCGUUCGUCACCAGAUUGAACAUCACCCGAUGAGCUUGGACUUACGAUCUUCUGCACCAGGGUUCAAUGAGCGGGCGUCGACUAUCGACUUUAAUAUAUGCUAAUCUAUCGCAUUAAAUCGCACGCCUAAAAUUCCGAAAUCAUGACUUUGUUAAUACGGGAGACCGGAGGACGAUAUCUCGAGAAAAAAUACAUAAAAAGUAAAAAAAGGUUGUAACGUUGCCACCGGUGGACGAGGAAUGUCGGGUAAAACCGGCGAAUGACAUCGCUUCUGUACGCAAAGGUGUCUGCAUUGCGAUCCUUUUUUGACGGUGCGACGAGACCCGGCCAACGCGCGAACGAGUCGUCCACAGCUGCUGUCGCAUCAUAGAUAUUAAUUCGGAGAUUUAAUUAGCGGAACCCGAAUGUAUUUUUGACACCGUAACUUGUGCAUUCAUCUUGAUGAAAAUCACAACGUCUUCUUAUUACGCAUCUUAAUGGAAAUCUUAGUAUCUGCUUGAGAGGAGUCCAAGGGAUAUACACGGCGACGUGUUUGAAAUAAUGAGUUUUAGCUCGAGGGGAUGGAGAGGCAAGAGUAUUUCGCGUACGCAAACAACGGUUGUUUGCUGUUUUGUACGUCGGUUUUUUGUUUUUUGAGUAAUAGCCCGCAAAUGUAUUCAAAAACAACUACUUAAGACGUACUAUUACUUAAUAGACCCUGCGAAAGUGUUUUCGAAUAUUUGGUGUGAUUUAACUGUUCAUAAAUAGAAAUGACCGUUGUACUCGAAAUAUAUAGAUAUGCAUUGCGAUUAAUUUAA